rnacentral:pre_miRNA from 1 species
UUUCUUCACUUCUUGGGCUUACAUCAACCCUGUAGAUCCGAAUUUGUGUCCGAGUUUCUCGCCUCUGGUAGUCACAGAUUCGUAUCUCUGGGUAACUGUAUCCCAGGACU